UGAGGAAUAUUGGGCAAUGGAGGCAACUCUGACCCAGCCAUGCCGCGUGAGUGAAGAAGGUUUUCGGAUUGUAAAGCUCUUUCGGAUGUGACGAUGAUGACGGUAGCAUCUAAAGAAGCCCCGGCUAACUUCGUGCCAGCAGCCGCGGUAAUACGAAGGGGGCAAGCGUUGUUCGGAAUUACUGGGCGUAAAGGGAGUGUAGGCGGUUUAGUAAGAUAGUGGUGAAAUCCCAGGGCUUAACUUUGGAAUUGCCAUUAUAACUAUUAGACUAGAAUUACAGAGAGGAUAGUGGAAUACCCAGUG
rnacentral:rRNA from 1 species